ACCGAACGGUCGGAGGCGAUCCGCGUCGGUCGCGCUGGGUGGUAUGGUUCCCCAGAGGCCGGUUCUUGUGCUGCCUACCCCUUCAAGGGAAGCGGGCCACUUGAUGUGAAGCCUCCAUCCCGCGCCUUCCAAGGGGCGCAGGAGGACAACGGGGCACCCCCCGCGUUCCACCGGGCCCCCUCGGUCGCGUGGCGCGCGGGGACGUGCGAUGCUCUCGGACCCAGCGAACGCCGUGGGCGAGGACUCACGUCCCAGUCCCGAAAGAAAGUUCCAAAUAAAGCUGACGGCCCCUCCCCUCCCCCCGACCGCCCCGGCGGCGCGGGGGCGAGGCGCGGCGUCGCGGAGGAAUGCUACCU
rnacentral:misc_RNA from 1 species